rnacentral:misc_RNA from 1 species
AAACUUUCUUCAAAACAUUGUAUAACAGAAAUCACAAGUAGCAGUUAUAUCUAUCUAUGUCUAUAUCCCUACUCAGAAAUUUUGGACAAUGAUGAAGGAUGCACAUAAAGUCGCGACAAAUGAUCAGAAUCUCUAAUUCUGUUGAAGUCAAAUCAGCAAGCCAACAGGGUUAAGUAUACCACGUUACCAAUAUCACAGUCUAAGUAAGUGCAAAAGCUUAGAGAGUAUACAACCAAAACCUCCUUCUGCUCAAUGGAUUCACAUGAACGCAUUCAUCCUUAUGCCACCAUCCAUUCUUGGAGGAAUGGAUCCUUCAUCGGCCUUGGAAUAGCUGACGUAGAAAAGUUCAGAGACGAUGCCUGUGAAAACAAUAAAAGCAGCGCCAGCACCAAAGACUCCCUUCCUCAAAACCUCGCAGGAUGGAGGAUGUUGUGCCAAGUAAGUCCUAUACUUUGUGUGGUAGGCAUUCCUAACGGAAGCCGCCAGUAAGCACACUUCAGCAAUAAAGAAGGUGACCCAGCAGGUGAUGAAUAAGACAAUAGCCCAUGAUCGGGGCUUUCCUGGUCGCAGUGCCCUCCCACAGCAUAAACAUCGGCUUGCAAACAUUAUGAGGAGCUGACUAGAUAAAAGAAAGAAGAAUGAACCCACGCCCAAGCCAGUUGCAACAUCUGACUCAUACACACAGUAGUUAUACUCUGCAUCUCUGUUGAUCGUUGCAGUAGCCCUCCUCUGCUCAGCAGCAACAGCAAGUCCAAAAGCAAUCAAAUCAAGCACAAAAACCAAAACUAGUAACAGUGUUGAAGCCAUCUUGCUAUACAAACUUUAUAUUUUUG